rnacentral:rRNA from 2 species
AGAGUUUGAUCCUGGCUCAGGAUGAACGCUAGCGACAGGCUUAACACAUGCAAGUCGAGGGGCAGCACAGGUAGCAAUACCGGGUGGCGACCGGCGCACGGGUGAGUAACGCGUAUGCAACUUGCCUAUCAGAGGGGGAUAACCCGGCGAAAGUCGGACUAAUACCGCAUGAAGCAGGGGCCCCGCAUGGGGAUAUUUGCUAAAGAUUCAUCGCUGAUAGAUAGGCAUGCGUUCCAUUAGGCAGUUGGCGGGGUAACGGCCCACCAAACCGACGAUGGAUAGGGGUUCUGAGAGGAAGGUCCCCCACAUUGGUACUGAGACACGGACCAAACUCCUACGGGAGGCAGCAGUGAGGAAUAUUGGUCAAUGGCCGAGAGGCUGAACCAGCCAAGUCGCGUGAGGGAUGAAGGUUCUAUGGAUCGUAAACCUCUUUUAUAAGGGAAUAAAGUGCGGGACGUGUCCCGUUUUGUAUGUACCUUAUGAAUAAGGAUCGGCUAACUCCGUGCCAGCAGCCGCGGUAAUACGGAGGAUCCGAGCGUUAUCCGGAUUUAUUGGGUUUAAAGGGUGCGUAGGCGGCCUUUUAAGUCAGCGGUGAAAGUCUGUGGCUCAACCAUAGAAUUGCCGUUGAAACUGGGGGGCUUGAGUAUGUUUGAGGCAGGCGGAAUGCGUGGUGUAGCGGUGAAAUGCAUAGAUAUCACGCAGAACCCCGAUUGCGAAGGCAGCCUGCCAAGCCAUGACUGACGCUGAUGCACGAAAGCGUGGGGAUCAAACAGGAUUAGAUACCCUGGUAGUCCACGCAGUAAACGAUGAUCACUAGCUGUUUGCGAUACACUGUAAGCGGCACAGCGAAAGCGUUAAGUGAUCCACCUGGGGAGUACGCCGGCAACGGUGAAACUCAAAGGAAUUGACGGGGGCCC